CACGAGUGCUGUCUGCCCUGCUCCCCGGGGGCUGGCUCUUGCUCUCUCCCUGUUGUGUUUGCUGCUGAGGGGUCCCCAGGGGCUCAUUUGGAGCCCGGGAACAGGGCAACCGGGGAGUAAGGGCAGAGGCGAGAUUCGGAGAGGAGAGCGGGGGCCUCUGCCCGCCAGAGCCCCUGGGAAAGGAGGCCGCCCCCCCCCCCAGCCCCACUCGCAGGGCUUAUCACCUUCCACAGCCUCGGAGAGGCGGAGACCGAGGCACCAGAGAAAGACUUCCAGGCACCCUCCUUCCCUGCCCCCGGUUACCGGAUGUGUCAGGACGAGGCCGGGGUGGACUGUGCCCGCACAGCGCUCUGCUCUAGGCCACCCUGGGUCCUGCAGGGCUGCGGCGGGCGGUGCUGCCGCGGCCCCUUAUCAACGCCCUGUGCCCAGGCCACACCCGCCUGGCACACACACCCAGCGGGGAGAGGAGAAACGUCCAGAGAGCCCCUACCCCACCGCUCCACAGGCCGGGGACGGGAGGGAAAGCCAGGACGGCUGAUACAGGGCUCUUCUUCAAUCCGGCCACAAUGACCAGACAACCUUUUCUCUUCUGGGCGCUGAUAGGUGGCUGUCAACGAGCGUGAAGGAACAUCAUGGUGCAGUAGAAAAAUCCUUCUGGAAGAGAGCCCAGGAGAGCCAGGAUCUGAUUCCAGCUCCACUCCUGACAUGUUGGGUUACCUGAGCAAAGAACUUCUCCAUGACUCAGUUUUCCUGAGUGCCGAGGCUGGUGCCUAUACAUCCCAGACCUUACAUGGCUGCCCCUUCCAAGAUCCCUUAAGCCUGAGCGAAACUUUUAUUUGCCCACUUAUGAUUGUAGGAAAAUAGAGCUGGCCCUAAAUGAAACUGUCAAAAUCUGAGAACUAUGUUUCACAGACCUUCCUGUUCUUUCAUCCCAGAUCCCUUCCACCCGCUUCCAAUAGUCAGUGGGAGGAGAGGGCAAGACCCCCUCUCCCAAAUAUUUCCCUCAUUUAUUCCAUCUAAACAUGAAAUAAUUUGAGUAGUAGAGUCUUGCAGCAGUGAGGUGAGUUUCAGUCAGUUGCCUUUCCCAGGUCAACUGAACUUUAGGCCUUCAAUCAGUAAUAAUGAUAUGAUUGACUGUAUUCCAUAUUCCAAUAAUGAUCUCUAAGAAUAUUUUGAUGGAGAGAUCCUAGGGAGCCCUUUAUCCCUGAAAUUCUUUGUGCCCAAUCAAAAUAUUGCAAA